GCAAGCACAAUUCCAAGCUUAUACAAAUGAUAAAAGAAAUGUAUUUGUAAAGAACGGUUUCCUGUAUCUAAAACCUACGCUUACUGUGGACAGUGGUCAUUUUACUGAGGACGAUUUACAGCACGGUGUUAUGGACUUGAAAAAAACGUGGGGAGUGUGUACAGAGAGUGGUAAUAAUGGCUGCUACCGUGAUUCUAAAAAGGAUAUCUUACCACCAACCCUGUCUGGAAGAGUUCUUAGUAAACCCAAUAUAAAAUAUGGUACCAUUACAGUUAGAGCUCAAAUACCUCGUGGAGAUUGGCUGUGGCCAGCAAUCUGGAUGAUGCCCAGGAAACAAGAAUAUGGAUGGUGGCCGGUAUCUGGUGAAAUAGACUUCAUGGAAGCCACAUGUAACGAAGUAAUGCAUACUUGGGAUGGUAAAAAUGUUGGUGUACAGCGAGUUUUCUCAACGUUCCACAUGGCACCACGAGGGGGUAAUUUUGCCCAGGGCAGAACAUUUACAAAAGACACUGGUGAUUGGCAUGGUUUCCACGACUACCAACUAGAAUGGUCUCCUGAUCGCUUAAU